UACGUAGGUGGCAAGCGUUGUCCGGAAUUAUUGGGCGUAAAGCGCGCGCAGGCGGUCUCUUAAGUCUGAUGUGAAAGCCCACGGCUCAACCGUGGAGGGUCAUUGGAAACUGGGGGACUUGAGUACAGAAGAGGAAAGCGGAAUUCCACGUGUAGCGGUGAAAUGCGUAGAGAUGUGGAGGAACACCAGUGGCGAAGGCGGCUUUCUGGUCUGUAACUGACGCUGAGGCGCGAAGACGUGGGGAGCAAACAGG
rnacentral:rRNA from 1 species